rnacentral:rRNA from 1 species
AUCAACUUUCGAUGGUAGGAUAGAGGCCUACCAUGGUGGUAACGGGUAACGGGGUGUUAGGGCACGACACCGGAGAGGGAGCCUGAGAAACGGCUACCACAUCCAAGGAUGGCAGCAGGCGCGCAAAUUACCCAAUCCCGACACGGGGAGGUAGUGACAAUAAAUAACAAUACGGGGUUCUUUAGGAUCUCGUAAUUGGAAUGAGUACAAUUUAAAUCUCUUAACGAGGAACAAUUGGAGGGCAAGUCUGGUGCCAGCAGCCGCGGUAAUUCCAGCUCCAAUAGCGUAUAUUAAAGUUGUUGCAGUUAAAAAGCUCGUAGUUGAAUUUCGGGGUUAGUAAGUUGGUCAUGCCUUUGGUAUGCACUGGCUUUACUGAUUCCUCCUUCUUGACGAACCGUGAUGUCAUUAAUUUGGUGUUGUGGGAAAUCAGGACUGUUACUUUGAAAAAAUUAGAGUGUUUAAAGCAGGCUAACGCUUGAAUACAUUAGCAUGGAAUAAUGAAAUAGGACGUUAAUCCUAUUUUGUUGGUUUCUAGGAUCGACGUAAUGAUUAAUAGGGAUAGUUGGGGGCAUUAGUAUUCAAUUGUCAGAGGUGAAAUUCUUGGAUUUAUUGAAGACUAACUACUGCGAAAGCAUUUGCCAAGGAUGUUUUCAUUAAUCAAGAACGAAAGUUAGGGGAUCGAAGACGAUCAGAUACCGUCGUAGUCUUAACCAUAAACUAUGCCGACUAGGGAUCGGAUGAUGUUAAUUCUUUAAUGACUCAUUCGGCGCCUUACGGGAAACCAAAGUGUUUGGGUUC